GUCUUCUGCGUCGCUCAUGCUGGGAGCUGUAGACCGGAGCUGUUCCUAUUCGGCCAUCUUGGCUCCUCCUACGUUUCAUAAAUUUCUAAGAUCAGCAAUGUGGGAGACAGGAGCUUCACCUUCAGGCUGGAUUCCAUGAUGGAGAAAACACAUGGAGCAGACCAGCAGUUAUUUGCAGCUAUCAUGUGAGCUGCUACGACUCCCUAGCCUUAAUCCAGCCCAGAUCUCAGCAGAAACUUAACACCACUCUGGUGACCCUGGAAUUGCAGCAGAGGCUCAAAUCACCAAAUAAGUGGGAAACAGUCUUCCAAGGCUACUUGCUAUACAAACAUCCUUGAAAGAUAGCCCAGAAGAAAGGACAGCCAGUGCCUCUGCUCACAACACAUGCAAAAAUGGUUACAGCCAGGAUUGAGAACCCCUAGCCUGUGCAAUGGAAUAUGCUGCCAUGUCUCCCUAUUCCUUGGGACACAACUGUAUUGAAAUUAGACCAACUAAUACUUCUACAAAGACUUCUGAGUGUUGAAGUGAAAGGAAGAGUUGCACGUCUCUUAUUUUAAAUCAAAAGCUAGACAUGAUGAAGCUUAGUGAGAAAGGUCUGUAGAAAGAUAAGAUGGGCCAAAAGCUAGGCCUCUUGCAUCAGCUAACUGUGGUGUGAAUGCAAAGGAAAAGCUUUUGAGGAAAAUGAAAAUUCUACUCCAGUGAACACACAAAUGACCAGAAAGCAUAACAGCCUUAUUGCUGAAAAGAAGAAAGUUUGAGUGGUUUGGAUAGAGAAUCAAACCAGCCCCAACAUUCCCCUAAGCCAAAGCCUAAUUCAGAGGAAAGUUCUAACUCUUUUCAAUUCUGUGAAGGCUGAGAGAGGUGAGGAAACAGCAGGAGAAAAGUUUAAAGCCACCAGAGGUUGGCUUAUGAGGUUUAAGGAAAUAAAGCAACCAUCUCCAUAACAUAAAAGUGCAAGUGGAGAAGCAAGUGCUUAUGAAGAAGCUGAAGCAAGUCAUCCAGAAGAUCUAGCUAAGAUAAUUGAUGAAGGUGGCUACACUACACAACAUGUGUUAACAGCCUUCUACUGAAAGAAGAUGCCAUCUAAGACUUUCGUAGCUACAGAGAAGUCAAUACCUGGCUUCAAAGCUUCAAAGAACAGGCUGACUCUCUCAUUAGGGGCUAAUGCAGCUGGUCACUUGAAGUUGAAACCAAUGCUCAUUAACCAGUCUGAAAGUCCUUGGGCCCUUAAGAAUUAUGCUAAACCUACUCUGCCUGUGCCCUAUAAAUGAAACAACAAAGCCUGAUGAAAGCGCUCCUGUUUAUACUAUGGUUUACUGAAUAUUUUAAGCCCACUGUUGAGACCUACUGCUUCAAAAAAAAGAUUCCUUUCUAAAUAUUACUGCUCAUUGACAAUGAAGCUGGUAACCCAAGAGCUCUGACGGAAAUAUACAAGAAGAUUAAUGUUGUUUUCAUGCCUGCAAACAAAUCAUCCAUUUUGUAGCACACAGAUAAAGGAGUAAUUUUUACUUUCAAGUCUUAUUAUUUAAGAAAAACACUUCAUAAGGCUACAACUGCCAUAGUGACAUUUAUGAUGGAUCUGAGCAAAGUACAUUGAAAAUCUUCUGGAAAGGAUGCACCAUUCUAGAUGUCCUUAAGAACAUUUGUGAUUCACGGGAAGAGAUCAAAAUAUCAACACUAACAGGAAUUUAAAGGAGGUUAAUUCCAACUCUCAUGGAAGACUUUGAGGCAUUCAAGGUUUCAGUGGAGGAAGUUCCUAUAGAUGUAGUGGGCAGAGUGAGAAAAGUAGAAUCAGAAGUGGAGCCUGAGUACAUAACUGAAUCUCAGGAUAAAAUUUGAACAAAUGAGGAGUUGCUUCUUAUGGAUAGGCCAAGAAAGAGGUUUCUUGAGAUAGAAUCCACUCCUGGUGAAGAUGCUGUGAACAUUUUUGAAAUGACAACACACAAAAAUAGAAUAUUUUCUAAACUUAGUUGAUGAGACAGCAUCAGAAUUUGAAAGGUUCGACUCUAGUUUUGAAAGGUUCUGCUGUGGGUAAGAUGCUAUCAAACAGCAUCACAUGCUACAGAGAAAUGGUUGGUAAAAGGAAGAGUCAAUGGAUGCACCAAACUUUCCUGUUUUAUUUUAAGAAAUAACCACAACUAACUCAACCUUCAGUAACCACCACCUGAUCAUUCAGCAGCAGCCAUCAACCUUGAGGGAAGACCUUCUAGCAACAAAAAGAUUAAGACUCUGAAGGGUCAGAUGAGCAGUAGCUUUUUUUUUUUAGUAAUAAAGUAAAGUAUUUUUAAAUUAAGUUAUGAACAUUGGGAAUUUUUCACAUAAUGCUAUUAUUCAUACACACAACUUUUAUAUGCCCUGGGAAACCAAAGAAUUUGUGUGACUUACUUUAUUGUAGUGGUCUGGAACCAAAUCCACAAUAUCUUUGAAGUAUGCCUGUAUAUGUGUGUGUGUAUAUAUAUAUAUGUGUGUGUGUGUAUAUAUAUGUAUAUAUAUUACAUGCAUACACAUAGAUUAACAUUUUAAAAGUACAUAUACUUUAUAUGCAUAUGUAUAUAUGUGUGUGUACAUAUAUACAUAUGUACACACACAUAUAUACAUAUGUAUGUGUACAUAUGUAUAUAUGUAUGUGUACAUACAUAUAUACAUAUGCAUAUAUACAUAUGCAUAUAAAGUAUAUGUACUUUUAAAAUGUUAAUCUAUGUGUAUGCAUGUAAUAUAUAUGUACACAUGUAUAUAUGUAUAUAUGUGUGUGUACAUAUGUAUAUAUGUACACACACAUAUAUACAUAUGCAUAUAAAGUAUAUGUACUUUUAAAAUGUUAAUCUAUGUGUAUGCAUGUAAUAUAUAUACAUAUGUAUAUAGGCACACACAGACAUAUGCAUACAUACACAUAUAUAGCAGGGUCCUAAAAUAUAUAUAGCUAUAUAUACACAUAUAUAGCAGGGUCCUAAAAUAUAUGUAGCUAUGUAUACACAUAUAUAGCAGGGUCCUAAAAAUCUGUGACCAUGCAGUUAUCAUCUCCAGGAAAUUAUUAUGAGUCUAUUUCAAUUACGAUACAAAUCUCUUCCCUAGUAAAUACAGUGCAGCCUAUAAACAUAGACAUUUGGGAAUAGAGAUACUUUCUUUCAAUGAAAUAACAUUACAUUCCUUGCAAACUUAGAUUAUUUUCAAAAGACUGACCAAAAUGUAUUUUUGGAAAGAAAGAGAAUAAGACAAAAAAAAAAAAAAAAAACCAUAGCAAAAUUUCAGGAUAAAAAAAUGCUGCUCAAAUUAGCUUUUCUCACAAAAUGCUGCACCACAUAGUGAUAUUUAGUCCCAAAGAGGCAGUAGUUUUUCACCAUAGGCCUUCUGUCCCUGUGGACUGCCCUUUCUAUGGCUCCCACCCACUCCCCUUUUGUAUCUGUAAUCACUGUGUUGAACAUGGAUGGCACUGAUAACAUUUUGCAUUCCAUUUUCUUCCUCUUAGUCUUGUGUUAUUCAGAUGCACUGACCCCAUAAAAUGUUAUGAGGUAAAAGCUACUCUCAUGACCUGUAGAAAUGAAUGUCACUUUCUAAGGUAUCAGGGAAGAUUUGAGUCCUGGGAGAAUAUGCUGCUCUCCCUAAUGGCAAUUCAUGUAUCACUUUGAUGCUCAAAAAGUAACGACGCUGUCUCUUCCCCAAAGAAGAAUGAAGCAUAUGUGAAGCCAUCGUUUUCUUCACAAGGUCAGAGAACAAAGUACUUCGAAGCCAAAUGAGGAAAUUGGGGCGUGAAGAUAACUAUUUUAGAAUAUUUCUGGAAAUAUGGUAACCAGUCAAGACAGCAUUUAUUUUAAAGUGUGGUGUUAUAAUUUUGCACAGAAAUUUUUUAUGAGAAUAUUUUUGUCACUUUCAGAGAGAUCUAUUAUGAUAUGCAGGGCUGAAGGGAACAUGUUGACAUGUCUGAGAGCUAAAACAAACGUGAAGAAUGAAGCUGAAAAUAACCAGCUGUGAAGAAAGCAUUACAAAGCGCUGGGUGGCACUCAGCAUUGUACAUCUAGAAUUCAGAGAUGUGUUAGGAGAAUGCAAUAACAUGGCACUCGUAGCAAGCUUUUCCAAGAAGAAAUUAAGAAGGGCACAUCAUUUGCUAUUAUAGACUAAGGUAAUUGGUAUCUACGUAUCUGUGCUCUUCUGCUGCCAAUAGGGAUAUGCAUGAAAAAGAUGCAGCUGCACCUCUCUUUGCACAGUGGAUUCCCGAAAAUCUCUGUGCAAAUAAAUCCCAUUAUAAAACCAGAAAUGAUUCAUCUUUUCUGAUUGAUCUUCAAUAUAAAUGGUUCUUAACAUUUAACCUUUAAGAUCCUUUGUCUGAGCCACAUGGGGUUCAACUUCCUUCUCUAUACUACUGGCUCCUAAAUAUUAGUUCUUAAUGAAGUGUUCACCAUGCUCUUGUGAAAUAAGAAAAUGAAGGGAAAUGAAGUAACAUUUUGGGAGAUAAAUGUAUUCAAAUUAAAUGGCCUUGUUUAAUUCUGAGAUUAUGCCAUUAUGUUUUCCCUUUUUGAUGUUAAAAAGACCUUUUCUUUUAUGAAAUCAUGCUAACAGUAGAUGUUCAUUUAUAGUGUGUUGCUUAUAAUUUUACUGGUUUCUGAAAUCUAAAACUAUUUGUAUCUCAAUAUGCAACCAUACAAAACAUCUCAAGCCAACCUCUGCCAAGAGUUAAUGCAUUUUUCAACAAACGAAUAAAUAUAGAACUUACUUUAUAAAGAAAAUAUCCCAGGCUUCAUCUUAUAAUGCAAAGAGGUGUUAUCUAGCUAUUCUGGGUUUUGACACUGGAUGUUACAUAUUUCUCUUCCUUUCAUCAAAUUCAUCGAACUGGUUAUAU
rnacentral:lncRNA from 1 species